GUCUUUAUUCUCAUGUUCAGAAUAUCUUGGUUUUUAACAAGUGCGCUUUGUUCUAUGUUAUUGUUGAGUUUACUUCAAGAUCACUAUGCCUUUCAAGCACAUCUGCUUUAUUGUUUUACUGACAGGAAUCAUAACUGCAGAUAGAGUAACCCAACCAGAAGUGACUGUGUAUGUCUAUGAAGAGGAUAAUGCCUUACUUUUUUGUAAUAUCACAACCAGCAGAGUUGACCCUAACUUAUUCUGGUACAAGCAGAAACCAAAUGGACCUAUUGAGUAUCUAGGAAUUAAUGUAGGAAAAUAUCAACCUAGUGAUGAAAACAGAAGAUUUGCAGCCCACUUUAACCAUUCCGAGAGCAUCACAGUUCUAAAUAUCUCCAAUGCCCAGCUGUCUGAUUCGGCGGUUUAUUAUUGUGCCCUGAGUGACACAGUGCCUGAUGCCCUCACUAAUGCUACACAAGAACCUGAACUACAGAUAUCAGAAAUGGCAUGCAAUAACUAAACUCUUUGAUGAACAAUGUGAUACUUUUUGAGGGACUACAUGUAUCUACAAUGGCUGAAAAAAUAUUCCAGUGUUUAUUUAAACUACUUUCUGGUACAUAACAGUUUUGCAAAUGAAUGUCUACUAUAGAGGCUAUCCUGACAUGUUGGUGUGCAUCUGUUUUAAAAUUUUAACUCACUUUGAUUAUGUUACAAGUUGUAUAGCAGAAACAUGUAUAGUUUACUGAAAAUA